rnacentral:rRNA from 1 species
UACAGAGGGGGCAAGCGUUGUUCGGAAUUACUGGGCGUAGAGGGCGCGUAGGCGGCCUGUUAAGUCGAACGUGAAAUCCCCGGGCUCAACCCGGGAACUGCGUCCGAUACUGGCAGGCUUGAAUUCGGGAGAGGGAUGCGGAAUUCCAGGUGUAGCGGUGAAAUGCGUAGAUAUCUGGAGGAACACCGGUGGCGAAGGCGGCAUCCUGGACCGAGAUUGACGCUGAGGCGCGAAAGCCAGGGGAGCAAACGGG